GAAAGAAAAUUUAAGGUAGAGAUUGAAAGGGCUCACUGAGUUCCAGGAGUGACUGUGAAGAAAAAACAACCUAGGCCUAGCCCAAUAAUCUUCUUGAGCUCAAAGGAUAGAAGGAAAACUGUAUAAGUUCACAGAGAGAAGGAACAAACUAUUUUCAGAAAGAAUGAGAAUCAAACUGGCAAUCAGACCUCUCGUCUACAAGACUGGAGGAUAGAAGACAGCAAAAUAAUAGCUGAAGAACACUGACAGUAAAAGAAGGCAACCCAGGAAUCCUACAUCCAAUCAAGGCCCUCUUCAGACCAGACUCCAUUUAGGACCUGCUCUUCCUGUAUACACUUCGAGAAGGGUUGCCAAGGAAACCUGAAACAAAGACAACUUCAUGCACUCAAAGCAGGAAAAUGCAUCCAGAACCUCAAAUCUUUAUACAUUACUGAGGAUUGACAGUCUCCUUCCUUGUUCUAACUGGAGUUUCAAGAACAGCCUUAAAGCACUUCACAUUCUUUGCGUGUGUGUGUGUGUGUGUGUGUGUGUGUGUGUGUGAAUCUGAGAUACAGUCAAUAGGGAGUUUUUCCUCUUAUCUUCUGGCUACUUUUCAAAUGUUUUUGCCAUUAUUUCACAGUUUAUGUAUUCAAAAGUAAACAUUACAAUAAUAGCAACUCUUCAUUCUGUAAAAUGAAAGGCUUAAAUAACAAAUUAAGAAAAUGUAGUUUUCAUUCCAUAUUGACUUCUGCAGCACCACCUUUAAGAAAUAUUGCUAUGGCUUAUAUGUUAAUUUUGGAACUCCUAAGGCUAGAGUUGCUGUCAGUGGAAGAGAUCUGUUGCUAUUCCUCAGAAUGGAUAUACAACUGAAUAAUCUUGUAGUCUUUUAUGUACAAAUUGGCUGGUUGUGGGAGUUAAUUGUCACAACUGAAUAGGGGUCAU
rnacentral:lncRNA from 10 species